UUUUGGUUCGGAAUCACUGCGGGAAACUGUGGCUAAUACCGGAUAAGCGUGAGGAAAGAUUCGCCAAGAGAGCAGCCCGCGUUAGAUUAGGUAGUUGGUGGGGUAAUGGCCUACCAAGCCUGCGAUCUAUAGCUGGUCUGAGAGGAUGAUCAGCCACACUGGGACUGAGACACGGCCCAGACUCCUACGGGAGGCAGCAGUGGGGAAUAUUGGACAAUGGGGGAAACCCUGAUCCAGCAAUGCCGCGUGAGUGAUGAAGGCCUUCGGGUUGUAAAGCUCUUUUGUCAGGGACGAUUGACGGUACCUGACGAAUAAGCUCCGGCUAACUUCGUGCCAGCAGACGCGGUAAUACGAGGGGAGCUAGCGUUGUUCGGAAUUACUGGGCGUAAAGGGCGUGUAGGCGGUACCAUAAGUCAGAUGUGAAAGACCUGGGAUUAACCUAAGAUGUGCAUUUGAUAC
rnacentral:rRNA from 1 species